GCCUAUAUAAAAAUGCAUCUAGCUAAAAACUGUGUACUUUCCUUGUCCUUUCCCCAGUAUUCAUUAACUCAAUAAGCAAUUAUCCAGUAUACAGGAAAUUAAUCAGCCAUCAUCCAGUAAACGUGGACUCAAUCAUCAAUCAUCCAGUAUACGUGGACUCAAUCAUCAAUCAUCUGUCAUCCAGUAAACGUGGACUCAAUCA